AUUGACUAUUCCUGCCUCUCUGGUCGUCUAGACAAUUUAAGAAAGAAUCUGGGGGAAAAUUUUCAAUAUUUGAAAAUCUGUUACAAUGGAAUGGAAACAGAUGAAGAAAUGAUAACCGACCAGCAAUGGAUAUCCCUAUCACAAUCCUGCCCUAACCUUGCCGUGUCUUUGGACGUGUACGCAGAACUAUAUCGUGAGGACACUCUUUCCCCCUACAUACCUCUGGUCAGUCUGACUACAUUGUACCAGGCCAGCAAGGGCCAAUCUGACAUGCUUUCUAUUGCCAUGUUGGCGCUCCAGUAUGAGCAUAAAAUGGAAGAAAUGAAUCUUGGCCAUUACGUCGAGAAUGAUUUGACUGAGAUGUUUAUUCAACAUAUCGAAAAGUUCCAGCGAUUGCGGACGUUUUCUCUGACCAUCCCCAUCAAAACUAGGAAAAACAAACGUUUUUUAAAAGCUUUCUGCGACAUGCUAAAAAGAAACAGUGUAUUGAAGAACGUAACUUUUACUUUCGUGGGUCGGAGAGGCGUUGGCCGGCAACUGCUUGAGGAAAUGGACAGGCUGUUGGUAGACAUGAGAGAAUGGGUGGAGCGGGGCUUGCUCAUCAAAUUCAAUUUGGAUGCAGAACGAUAGAAUGCUUGCUGGUGAUGUAUUAUCUAAUUGUCCUAAUACUCAGUCAUAAAUUCUCAUAAAGUGCUGGUGAUGUAUGAUCUACAUGUGUUGACAGUGAUUCAUAUCUGGCAUAGACAAUUUAUUUUCAAAUCUUUUUUUUUAUUUGAUAAUUGAAAAUAAAAAUAAUUUGAGCAGGAACACUGUUUCCAAAGUGUCUUACUGCUAACAACGCUAACAUCGUCUCUCUGUCAGUAUGUACGUGUGUGUCUCAUCUAACUGGUCUUAUUGCUCCUGUUGAAAAAAAUUUCUAGCAAGUUGGCGGCAACGAACGAAUUGAAAUCGGCUCAGUUUUAAAUGUGUCGUUUAAGGGAGAGUUUUAAAUUUGUCGUUUAAGGGAGAGUUUUAAAUGUGUCGUUUAAGGGAGAGUUUUAAAUUUGUCAUUUAAGGGAGAGUUUUAAAUCUGAGCCAAUUUCAAUUCACAUCGUGAUCACCGCUACUCGCGUGGACCUUUUAAAAAUUCCAUAAUUUUCUUCUCAGAAUCGUACUUUGUUCUAUUUCAAUUGUAUACUGAAAGAAAUUUAAAACAUUUGGCACGAGUAAAUUUCUUUAUGCUAUUUAAAUUAUUACUUAUCAGUGAAUGUAUUGUUCAUCAUAUGCACAUUUUUAUAA